rnacentral:lncRNA from 1 species
GCUCAUGGCCAACAUCUACCCGUACCUGGCCUGGGCCUACAACCCGAGCGCCAUGGACAUGAGCUACGCGCUCUUCACCGCGUCCGGCACCGUGGUCCAGGACGGCUCCUACGGGUACCAGAACCUGUUCGACACCACCGUGGACGCCUUCUACACGGCCAUGGCCAAGCACGGCGGCUCCAACGUGAAGCUGGUGGUGUCCGAGAGCGGGUGGCCGUCAGCCGGCGGCACGGCGGCGACCCCGGCCAACGCCAGGAUCUACAACCAGUACCUCAUCAACCACGUCGGGCGCGGCACCCCCCGCCACCCGGGCGCCAUCGAGACCUACGUCUUCUCCAUGUUCAACGAGAACCAGAAGGACAACGGCGUGGAGCAGAACUGGGGGCUCUUCUACCCCAACAUGCAGCACGUCUACCCCAUCAGCUUCUGAUGAGGUAGCAGCUACCUAGUGCCCGUAUGUCCGUACGUACGCGCGCGCGUAUAAGAGCGUGUACGCCGUACGUAUGCGCACAUUAUGUAUUGUACAGG